AUGGGGCGCAGCAGGCGCGAAACCUCUGCAAUAGGCGAAAGCUUGACAGGGUUACUCUGAGUGAUGUCCGUUAAGGGCAUCUUUUGGCACCUCUAAAAAUGGUGCAGAAUAAGGGGUGGGCAAGUCUGGUGUCAGCCGCCGCGGUAAUACCAGCACCCCGAGUGGUCGGGACGAUUAUUGGGCCUAAAGCAUCCGUAGCUUGUUCUGCAAGUCUUCCGUUAAAUCCACCUGCUCAACAGAUGGGCUGCGGGGGAUACUACAGGGCUAGGAGGCGGGAGAGGCAAGCGGUACUCAGUGGGUAGGGGUAAAAUCCACUGAUCCACUGAAGA
rnacentral:rRNA from 1 species